GAUGAAGAACGUAGUAAAAUGCGAUAAGUAAUGUGAAUUGCAGAAUUCAGUGAAUCAUCGAAUCUUUGAACGCACAUUGCGCCCGCCAGUAUUCUGGCGGGCAUGCCUGUUCGAGCGUCAUUUCAACCCUCAAGCACAGCUUGGUGUUGGGACUCGCGUUAAUUCGCGUUCCCCAAAUUGAUUGGCGGUCACGUCGAGCUUCCAUAGCGUAGUAGUAAAACCCUCGUUACUGGAAAUCGUCGCGGCCACGCCGUUAAACCCCAACUUCUGAAUGUUGACCUCGGAUCAGGUAGGAAUACCCGCUGAACUUAAGCAUAUCAAUAAGCGGAGGA
rnacentral:misc_RNA from 1 species